UAAUUGCCCGAAGUUCCUAAGAGGCCAGGUCCCAAUUCCCAAAGCUAAUCAAUGAAUUUCUUUGAUUCCUCGCAUCCUCUAAACUGCCCCAAGGGCCCCCGAUGGACGGAGGCCAGCCGGCGACACAUCCUGGUCCUGGGCCAAGAACGCGAGAACAGCAACCUACACCAUGGCCGUCCAUCGUCAGAGCCAUGGUCAGUGUCCGAGGGCAGGCGAUGCAGACGUGAAGUCCAGGAACUGUUCAAGCGAAGCUCCUCCAGUCAUGUAAAUUCUGCAGGUUGUGUCGUUGCAUGAAUUUUGAUUAUUGGAUGGAUGGAGCAUAGAAUUUCUUCUAAUUUACUCCAAAACCAAGAUUCAGGAAUUCAGGUGCUCUCUACUUUAUUUUGUUUGUAAUAAUGUUCCAAAAAGCAAUUAUCAUCUGGUUGUGAGAAAAGGAAACACUAACUUGUAAAUCAAUUAAUCAAAUCUGAAAACGGUGCUACGUUCUAGACUCUCAACAAAUUUGAGUCUAUUAUAAGGGCCCAUUAUAUGAAACUCGCACAAGGGCCUCUAAGAUUCUAGGGCCGGCCCUGCGCCCAGCUCCGCCCACCCUACUCUUCCCGCUUCUCCAUGACGUUGGUUCCUCUACACCCCGUCGUCUUCGCUCUGCUCUGCCCGUGGCGGCUGCCAUGUCCACUCUUGUGACGUGCCGAUAUGGUGGCGCUGUGGCCGGGUGUGAUCUGGAGAACCAGCGGGCGGUGGUGCACGGCCUGGGCGGCGGCGACCUGCGCGACCCCGGUGCUGCACGGACGCCUCCUUCCCCGUCGCAUUGAUCCAAGGCGGCUCUCUCCUAGCCAACCUCCAGCGACAAGAAGAUGGUAGAUGGGUCAUGGGAGAUGGGGCCACUCGACUCAGCCAAGGCAUCGGAGGACCAAAUCUGGACCGAAGCAGUUCACCAGCACGGGCGACUGAGAGAUUGGACGAGGAAGCCGAGCCGUUCGCGAGGCUAUCGACUCGCCCUUCGCUCGUGGGGCAGAGAAUAACCAGGAGGUGGAGCGGUCCACGGCGUCGUCGCCCUCGCCUUCGAGCCAUCCAUGACGUCGUCGCCAUCACCUAGCCACUCACCGCACAGGACGCAGAGAUGGGCGAGGACGCCUGUGGGAAGCAGCAGCGGCUCGAUGAUGACAGGAAGCAACAGUUCGCUCAUUCCUAGGUAUGUGAACCCUCUUGUCAUCUACAUGGAUAGCUUUCUGUAAUUGUGGCAAGGUGCAGAGAUGGUUGUACAGUCGGUUAUCCUGUCAUUGAAACCAUUCAUAAGGAUAACAUCUGUCAUGUCGUUGAAGCUCCUGCUGAGAUACCUGAGAAAAUGAAAAGAAGUUAGCUACCAAUGUAGCUGAAAAAAACUAUCAAAUCAUUAGAAGGUGUUGGUGUUUUUGUUGCCGGACUAUCUUUAGCAAAUGCCAAUCCAGUUUGUUCGAACAUUUAUGCAUGUCUUAUAUAAUUGAAUCCUCCUAUGUUGAUGUUGGAUCUUUCUCUCAUUGAUAAUUUCACUAGGUUUUAUCCAACGAAGUAGCCCCUAGGGCUCACAUUAGUGGACACCAUAUAAUCCAGACAUGGCACUCUUCACAAUACGAGCAACAUCUACGUGCUAUUCUUGGACUUCCUGUUGGUAACCCUGUAAUUAAAGCACCCGCAGCCAUAAUGAACAAAAUCCUGGGCUAUGAUGAGGUAUGUAUAUAUUUGAUUUUGUGUUGAUUUGCCCUCCAUGUUUUGCUAUGUUAAACAUUGAUAGUUAGGUCAAUAUUUGCUUUAUUAUUUAGUAACUCAUUAUUUUUGUAGGUCACCAUGUUAUUAUACUGGUUACCAAUUGGUACAAUGCAAUUUGGGAUUUUUUUUGGGCCCAUUAGCUGAUUAAGAGGGCGCUAAAUAUUUCAGGUGCAUCAGUCUAUUGGCAUGCAAAGGCAGGUUCUGCCCACACACAUAGAUGUUUGUUGCAGAAAGGUUAUAAUUCUGCUUAUUGCAUUCUUGUGCCAUUGAGUAUUAUUUAAAGAAUUGUUCUUCCACAUAUUUGGAAGCAAAGUAAGAUGGGUCAUAUUACAAUUGUGGGGCGUUAAUUAUGUGUUCAGUGUAAAAGCACAUUUGGACAAGUACACAAGAAUUUGUUGUUAGGGUCUACCGACAAAACAUGUAGAUCUGACACAUAAAGGCACCUUGCCUUGUAUCAUGCAUUCUGCCCCAUAGACAUGUUCUUUAUCAGAUCUGAUGGUUCUCUGGUGGUUACAUGCCGACUGAAUCGAAUUGGGUUGGAUGCUCAGGUUGCAGGUUCCAAGGUGUGAUCGUUGUCCAUUUGUUUGAGGUCGGGCAACAACGAUAAUUAGCAGCCCUGUAUCCUAACCAGGAGAACAUCGCUUCCCCAAUUGGUUUUUAGAUUAUGUUCAGUUAAUUAGAAAAAUAGUGGGCUUGCUAAAACAUCGCAAUUUUCCAUGUGAGUCGAUAUGGAAUUAACAAACACUAUAUGCAUCAAUGUCUAUUUAAUGGCCUAAAAACACUGGCAUGUUUGGAUCUAAUUUUUCAUCUGUACGUAUCAGCGGUGAGCUAUUCCCACUUGAGGGUGACUAUACAUCAGUUGCACAUUCAUGUGUCUUGUGCUUCUUGUUUGAAUUGUAUAAAUCUAGAGCCACCUUACAAAAUUGUUCUGAUUACUAUGACCUAUAAAAUCUAGAGCUAGCUUAUAAAACUAUUUUGAAAAUAGCUUUGGGCCUUCACAUGAGGGAGUAAUAGGACACUUUAUAUUCCUAUUUUAUUUUUUCUGUAUAUGUACACUGUUUUCAGAAUCUAUUCGUUUGCUGGUUGCUGCUGAACCUACUUUCCUUUACGUCCCUUGCUUCCCCAAUUACAUCAUGUUCGGCUUUAACUUCGCUGAAUUAGCUCUGAUUAAUUUUCAGUUGGACAGUUACAUUGGAAUAGAUUCAGCAGCAAAUAGAUUCUGAAAACAGAACUACAUCAUGUUUGUGACAUCAACAUUUUUGCCAUGCUAACUGGUUAGUUUAACUUGUUACAGAUUGCAUUUUAUAUAUUUCUAUGUAUGCUUCUUUUAACUAACAAACCCGUCUACUGGUAUAUCGGUAACUAUAUCUUUUUAACCUUCUUUUGGGACAAUGAAUCAUAUUCACCUAUUCAGUUGUCCAUGAUCCAUUACAGGAAUCACCUUUAAGGUAAUCUGUUCAUUGUGCAUUUUUGGUGAGACUUGCAUGCGGGCCAUGAGAGGAGCACAUGAGAGGCGAAGGCGGCAGUGGCAGCGAUUUCGAUCUGUGGUACGCCUCCCUACUGAAGCCGGCUGCGUGAUCCGUCCGUGCCACAAGACGUCAACUUCCUGACCGUGCUACUGCACCAAGACUUACCCAUUCGUAUCCCCUUUGGCUUGCCACUAGACUCUCGCUGUCAGGCCAAGAAAGAGGGCGACAGAGAGGGCUCAGCCUCGGUCGUCCGGCAAUCACUUAGGAUACGUAUGUCUCCUCGGUCUAUUUCUAGGAAUCCUGUAUUCUCCAAUAAUCGUUUACAAAUCUGUGAGAACAAGUGAUGGGAGGUUGCGAACCAACCUGUGGUUGAGAUGGUUAGGUGGACAGUGGUAUCACCAACCCACCAGGGUUCAAAUCUUGGUGCUCGCAUUAUUCCUGGAUUUAUUUCAGGAUUUCCGGCGAUGCGCUUUCAGUGGGAGGAGACGUUCCCAUCGACAACGAGGCGCCUACGAUGGCUUCGUAAAUCUCAAGAUGAUAUGCCGGCUCAGUCUCUCGGAGGUGCUCAUAGGGGUAGGGUGUGCGUGUGUGUGUUCAUAGGGGUGAGUGUAUGCGCAUGUAUAUGAGCGCUUGUGUCUGUACUGAUGCUCAAAAAAGUGAUGGGAGGUUAAUUCUAAAGUAUAUAUGUUAAGCUCCAAUAUAUUAGGCUCAUCAAAUCCUUGAAGUAUACUUUAUU